CAUUACAGCCAUAACACCCUGAAUGCACCCGAUCUCAUCUGAUCUAGGAAGCUAAGCAGGGUCAGGUCUGGUUAGUACUUGGAUGGGAGAUAUCUUGUUCACACAACCCUGCUUAACUACAAGGG
rfam:Callithrix jacchus chromosome 7, whole genome shotgun sequence